AUGGAGCCUGCCGGGACGCCAGGCCCUGCCGGCUUCUUCCUCCCCGGGGACCUGGGAUUCCCUCCAGGGUGUGGAACUGCUCGUGCACUCGGUGUGCUCAGUAACACAGCGUGGCUCCCAGGGCCUGUUCGGGGCUCCUGGUGUGCAUCGCUGAGCACAGAGAGGUGGCGGGGGGAGGGGGGGAAGGAUGGAGGGAGGGGAGGGGAGGGGAUGGAGGCAGGGAGGCAGGGAGGCAGGGAGGCCAGAAGCUGGCGUCAGAACCUGGAGUGGUGGCUUUCUGCGUCUGGGCCUCAGGUUCUCUUUCUCCUUAGAUGUGGGGCUGGGAGCGCAUGGCUUUCCAGGUCCUCUUCAUCGGUGCUUCUCCUUAAGGCCGAGAGCCGAGCCGCCCAGGGCACAUGCUUCCGCCCGCAGAGGGGUGUGGGCCCCCGAGCUGUGCUCUCGGCGCACAAGCAGGCACCUGCGUGCCCCUGGGACCCCCGGGGACCAAGGCCCGUGCGAUUCUCGAAGCACAGACCUGUCUACGGCCCUCGCCUUGGAGCUGGGAAUAGCCGAGCCCCCCGCUACUUGGCGUCACACAACGGAAGCCGUCCUGAGGAGACGAGCGCAGGGGCCGCUGUUGGUCGGCUCUGCUCCGCAAGUGCUCUCACCCCGGGGAUGUUCUUGUCGCUCUCCUCCCUCACUAGAGUUUCCUCUUGGGUGGCAAGUGCCUGACCCCCUCACCCCCACCAGGUCCCCCAGCAGAGCAACGGGGGUGCAGCCCUGUUCACAGGUUGCUCCCCUGGAUGGAUCUGCACUUCCACGGGGAGCUGUCCCUCGGGCCUCCACUUCGGGGGUGGGCGGUGGGAGGUGAGCACAGUGGCCUCCAGGGAAUGACGUGGGGGGGGAGCUCUGGGUAUCGGGGGGUCACAGACUCAGAGACGGAAGGAUAAAAGUUGGUUGUGCCUCUUUGCUGUGAGUCGAAACCCCAUGACUCAGCAUGUUGGUGUCUCGUGCUCUGGGAGGACGGGAGCCCUGUAGCCCUGGUUCCUGUUUGGUCCUGGUGCUGAGCAGGUGCUGCAUGUCAUAGACACUCAGCAAACAGCUGCAGAAGGGGUGGAUGAGUUCCUCACUGUCCUCAGCUCCAGAAUGGAGAUUAAAAUGCCCACUUGUAUUAUGCUGUGCUGGGUUAGUUGUCCGUUGCUAUGUGACGAAGCAGCCCAAACUUAAUGACCUAAAAAAAGUAGGUAUCGGACCCACAGGUUAUCUGCGGGUGAGGAAUCUGGGGUGGCUGAGCCUGGGGGUUGUGGCACGGGGCCCCUUGCGUGAUUACUGUCAGGCUGUCCAUAGAGGCUGCAAUCUGAAGGCCCGACUGGGGCUGGAGGAUCCGGUUUCCUGUUCGCCAACAUGGGCUCGACAGAUUUCUCGGUGGAAAUUACAUAUAACAACCACGUGUUAUAUAGUCAUAUACAGUAAUUCUAAAAAUAACGGGCCUGAUUGCUCUUGAAUUGCGUGUCUAUUUUGCGCAGGUCCUGAGACAAACGUCUCACACAUCUUAUUCCAUUUAAUCUUUCAACCAUCUCAAGAGGUAGGUGCUGUUACUACAGGCGAGGCAAGGGGAGGCUAAAGUCGCUUGCCCCAGGUAUUCAGCUAGCAUUCGGUCAUCAGUCACUGCGUGACAAAUCGCCCCAACAUUUAGCAGCUUGAAGGGACAAUAGUCAUUUUGUUCUCUCAUGGUUUCUGUGGGU
rnacentral:lncRNA from 1 species